rnacentral:rRNA from 1 species
AAGAAGGAGGUACGUUAGCAAGCUUGAUACCCUGACGUACCGACGGAACGACACGGCAAAUAACCGUGCCAGCAGCGGCGGUAAUACGUAGGGGGCAGCGUGCGUAGGAUUUUUGGGAUUCGUAAAGCUUUUGGGCCGUCCAGGUGGUUUCGUCAGUCUGAUGUGAAAAUCCCCCGGCUCAAACCCGGGAGGGUCAUUGGGAAACUGGGAGACCUGAGUUCAGAAGGAGAAGAGUGGAAUUCCAUGUGGAGCGGUGAAAUGCGUAGAGAUUUGGAGGAACACCAGUGGCGAAGGCGGCUCUCUGGUCUGUAACUGACCCUGAGGCUCGAAAGCGUGGGGAGGCCAAACGGGAUUAGAUACCCUGGUAGUUCACGCCGUACAACGAUGAGUGAUAAGUGUUUGAGGGCUUCCUGCCCUUCAGUCUGAAGCUAACGCAUUAAGCAUCCGCCUGGGGAGUACGGCCGCAAGGUUGAAACUCAAAGGAAUUGACGGGGGCCCGCACAAGCGGUGGAGCAUGUGGUUUCAAAUUCGAAGCAACGCGAAGCCAACCUUACCAGGUCUUAUGACAUCCUCUGAACACUCUUAGAGAUAGAGCUUUUCCUUCGGGACCAAUCAGUGACAGGUGGUGCAUGGGUUGUCGUCAGCUCGUGUCCUGUGAGAUGUUGGGUUAAGUUCCCGCAACGAGCGCAACCCUUUCCUUAGUUGCCAUCAUUAAUUGGGCACUCUAAAGGGACCGCCCGUGACAAACCGGAGGAAGGGGGGGAAGACGUCAAAUCAUCCUGCCCCUUAUGACCUGGGCUACCCACUGCUACAAUGGGCGGUACAAAGAGGAGCAAGCCCGCGAGGUGCAACCAAUCUUCUAAAACUGUUUUCAGUUCGGAAUGCAGGUUGCAACUUGCAUUCCUGAAGCUGGAAUCGCUAGUAAUCGCGGAUCAGCAUGCCCCGGUGAAUACGUUCCCGGGCCUUUACCCACCCCCCGUCACACCACGAGAGUUUGUAACCCCAGAAGUCGGUGAGGUAACCCUUUGGAACCACCUCCCAGA